CAGUUGUUCUGUUAAAGCUUUAUAAUAUUUUGCUGUAAAUCUGUCAGGUCCCAGAGCUUUUCCAAUUUUCAGUUGCUUUAUAGCCAUCUGUACUUCUGCAUUGGUUACCAAGCAAUUCAACUGUUCUUUCUUUUCUUUCAGAAUCUUCUGCAGUCCAUUUCUCCCAAGGUACUCUAUUUUCUCUUUACUAAAUUUCUCUGCUUUAUAUAAAUUUUUAUAUUUUUUUGGAAAUUCUUCCUGAUUUCUCUGAUUUUCUAUUAAUUUCUCCUCAAUUUAGUUACUGUAUUUUGCUUUGCUCUUUUUUUAAUUGCACGCUAGUAGUUUACCAGGUUUAUUGGCAAAUUCAAAAUUCCUUUGUUUUAGAAAUUUUAUCUUCCAUUCAACUUCUUGAUUUAUCAUUAUUGAAAAUUGGGCUUGCAACAUUUUUAUAUUCUGCUUAACUUUAUUCCCAGUUUUUUGCUAACUACUUUCCCCUUUCCAUAAUUUGUUUUAAAAUCUCCUUUCUUCUUCUCUCUUAUAUUCCUUUUAAAAACAUUUUGUUGUAUUAGGAAGCUUCUCAUAGCCGCUUUACACAGUAUUCAAGUCCGUACCUUUACUUAAAUUUAUCUCAAAGUAAUCUGCAAGUGCUUUCAGGGCCUUCUUUGUAACCUCCUGAUCAUCUAGGAAGCUGUCAUUCAUUCUGCACCUGAAGGAAGUUUCCUCAAUACCUUUCAACUCCCAAAUUAUUGAAUUAUGAGCUGAGAGAGUUCUUGGAAGAACUUCAACUUUCAUAACUCUUGGUGUCAAGUCCUUGGAAGUCCACAUAUAUUCGAUUCUUCCUGAACUUUAAUUUGGUUCUGUAAAGUGAGUGAAUUGCUUUUCUAAUGGGUGCUUCAACCUCCAUAUAUCAAUCAAAUCAUAAUUUUCUGCUAACAUAAAGAAUGAGUUGGGUAAUCUCCCUUGAUUUGUAUCCCUUUUCAUUUCUGUCCUGUCCAUUUCCAUUGAGACCACCCUGUUAAAAUCACCCAUCAAUAUAAUUUUUUGGUCCAUAUGUUCAAAUAAAUUCUCCUCUAAUGAUUUAUAAAAUUCUGAUUCCCCUUCAUUAGGUGCAUAGAUUCUUACUACAAUCAACUUCUCAUCCUGCAAUGUGACCUGUACCGCAAUUAUCCUCCCGUCCUCAUUCUUGAAGAUUUGCUGCGGAUCAUAAUUCUCCCUUAUAUACAAAACUACAC